UACAGAGGGUGCAAGCGUUGUUCGGAAUUACUGGGCGUAAAGCGCGUGUAGGCGGCGGCGUAAGUCGGAUGUGAAAGCCCUCGGCUUAACCGAGGAAGUGCAUUCGAUACUGUGUCGCUUGAGUACCGGAGGGGAUGGCGGAAUUCCCGGUGUAGAGGUGAAAUUCGUAGAUAUCGGGAGGAACACCUGUGGCGAAGGCGGCCAUCUGGACGGUGACUGACGCUGAGACGCGAAAGCGUGGGUAGCAAACAGG
rnacentral:rRNA from 1 species